rnacentral:rRNA from 1 species
GACGAACGCUGGCGGCGUGCCUAAUACAUGCAAGUAGAACGCUGAAGGAGGAGCUUGCUCUUCUGGAUGAGUUGCGAACGGGUGAGUAACGCGUAGGUAACCUGCCUGGUAGCGGGGGAUAACUAUUGGAAACGAUAGCUAAUACCGCAUAAUAUUGACUAUUGCAUGAUAGUCAAUUGAAAGGUGCAAAUGCACCACUACCAGAUGGACCUACGUUGUAUUAGCUAGUUGGUGGGGUAACGGCUCACCAAGGCGACGAUACAUAGCCGACCUGAGAGGGUGAUCGGCCACACUGGGACUGAGACACGGCCCAGACUCCUACGGGAGGCAGCAGUAGGGAAUCUUCGGCAAUGGACGGAAGUCUGACCGAGCAACGCCGCGUGAGUGAAGAAGGUUUUCGGAUCGUAAAGCUCUGUUGUAAGAGAAGAAACGAGUGUGAGAAGUGGAAAGUUUCACUUCUGGG